GCUGAAUAGCUCAGUUGGUGGAACGUGAGACUCAAAAUCUCAAGGUUGUGGGUUCAAGCCCCAUGCUGAGCA